rnacentral:rRNA from 1 species
AUUGAACGCUGGCGGCAGGCCUAACACAUGCAAGUCGCACGAGUGGCGGACAGGUGAGUAAUGUAUGGGAAACUGCCCGAUGGAGGGGGAUAACUACUGGAAACGGUAGCUAAUACCGCAUCCCAUCGGAUGUGCCCAGAUGGGAUUAGCUAGUAGGGGGGGGAAAGGCUCACCAAGGCGACGAUCCCUAGCUGGGCUGAGAGGAUGACCAGACAAACUGUAAAGGAGAAACGGUCCAGACUCCGACGGGAGUCAUCAGUGGGGAAUCUUGAACAAUGGGGGCAAGACGGAGGCAGCCAUGCCGCGUGUAUGAAGAAGGCCUUCGGGUUGUAAAGUACUUUCAGCGAGGAGGCGUUACUCGCAGAAGAAGCACCGGCUAACUCCGUGCCAGCAGCCGCGGUAAUUC